rnacentral:rRNA from 1 species
GGGCCGGCCUUUACCAUGCCAAGUCGAAACGAGAAUCUUCGGAUUCUAGUGGCGGACGGGUGAGUACGCGUGACAAUAAGAACAAAGGAGGGGGAUAACGGUUGGAAACGACCGCUAAUAUCCCAAAUAACGAGAGGUGAAAUCUAAUUGGCCUGAGGAUGAGCUCGCGUCCGAUUAGCUAGUUGGUGGAGUAAGAGCCCCCCAAGGCGACGAUCGGUAGCUGGUCUGAGAGGAUGAUCAGCCACACUGGGACUGAGACACGGCCCAGACUCCUACGGGAGGCAGCAGUGGGGAAUUUUCCGCAAUGGGCGAAAGCCUGACGGAGCAAGACCGCGUGAGGGAAGAAGGUUUGUGGAUUGUAAACCUCUUUUGAUUGGGAAGAAGUUCUGACGGUUCCAAUCGAAUCAGCCUCGGCUAACUCCGUGCCAGCAGCCGCGGUAAUAAUCUAGAUGCUUUUUUU